rnacentral:rRNA from 1 species
UACGGAGGGUGCAAGCGUUAAUCGGAAUUACUGGGCGUAAAGCGCACGCAGGUGGCUGAGUCAGUCGAUUGUGAAAGCCCUGGGCUUAACCUGGGAAUUGCAGUCGAUACUACUCAGCUAGAGUAUGGGAGAGGGUAGUGGAAUUCCCGGUGUAGCGGUGAAAUGCGUAGAUAUCGGGAGGAACAUCAGUGGCGAAGGCGGCUACCUGGCCCAAUACUGACGCUCAUGUGCGAAAGCGUGGGGAGCAAACAGG